CGCGUACACAAGCGUUAAGGAAGUUUUACGAAUUUGUCAACUUAUUUAUGUACAUAUUCAUUCUUUUACAUUAUUUGAGCAUCAUCUGUGUGACAUUGUUUUUAUUAAGUUUUGCAAUGUCAGCUGAGCAAUAGAAAGAAGAAAACACACGUGUUUGGACACACAUAAAGUGGAAAGUUGAAGUCAUAAUAAUGGUGGGACUUUCUGAGGCUUUUAAGCAGUUGGCCACAAGAGACUAUCCGACCAACGCAGAGAGGCAGCAGUUAUGCAAUGGAAAAAGACGAGGGAAAGCUGGACCCAACAGGAGGACGGGGGGAAGGAAAGAGGAGAGCAUUAUUAAAUGAAUGGAAAACAGUACGUUGGGAAAACUAGCCACUUUAAAAUAAGUAACACAAAAGCAGAGCAGUGGGCCAGGCCUGUGGUCCACGGCGCUGCUCUGGGAAAAAGUGAUUCGGCGCCUGGAAAGAGAGGUUAUGUCAUCCGCCCCACGUGAUGAGGUGUUGUGCUCCGCUGCCAUGGCGACAGUGGAAGAUGAUCAGCAGAAUAGAUGUGAGGUAGUAACCGUCUGAACCGUUUAAAUUGAAACACUACAGAGGUUUUCUGUUUCUCCUCGGACGAUGACGACAAACACAGAAAAUCACUUGAGUGUUGCUGAUAGAUUACAGCUAGUCAGAUUACUGGCAUUUAGGUGAUGCGUCAACGAAGCGCCAAUUGUUUAUAUACUGACGUUCCUUUUGUUUUUUGUGGAAUGUAAGGUGCAAAACUUCCUUCAUAAUCUGUCCUGUUCCAUCGUCAUGUUGCCAUUUUGUUUAAAUGACCCUCUGCUCCAGGUCAGCGUGGCUCCUGCAGGGUUUGUUUUGCAUGAAGCAACCCAUCUCACAGCAACCUUCCUUUUAAAAGGCCUCUUGUCAUUGCUGGUGUAAACCUUAGUUGGAACUUUGGCUUUGUGUCCUCAUCCUGCUUCUGAGAAUUUCACACUCGAGUAAGUAGAGGGCAUAAUUUCGUAUUAUUUUUCUGUGUAGGUGCCCGUUAUUUAAUUAACUUUGAUACCUGAGGGACAUGGAGAAUCGUUGUAUCUUUCCAAACUCACAGUUUCACAAUCAUAUUUGUGUUAGCCAGUGACCAGCCAGGUUCCUGAGGUUCAUGGAAAGCAGGCAGGUUGCCGAUCUUCACCUCAGGGAAAGUUUCUAAUCUGGUAGUGAGCUGGCACAGAUUCCAGCCCAGCCACUUCACCAUUGGAGCCAUCACAGCUCACCACUGCUUUGAUGUGAUACAGACUUAUAGUGAUUUACUCCGAUUUUUUUUAUUUCUAGCCAAGGCUGGAGACCUAGCUUUGCUCAGCAUCAAGGCUGCCUCCAUCUAUAAUUGUACAAUGUCCUCACUGAUUGGAAAUGUACAUACAUAACUUCUAAAAGUGGAUGGAAAUAGUAUCGAAUAAUAUUUUGUUCAUUGUGCACAUCUGUGCAGUCUACCUGGCCAAAUAACCAGCUCACUGGUGGAUGAACACAGGUUUUGGUUUUGUUUAAGGCGGUGAGCCAACUAAACCUGUCAGCCUCGAUGUGACAUCCCUCAGACCACAAACCACCAACUGUCAUUUGCAUGAACUAAACAAUAAGUCUUAUGCUAAGCUAGCCUAGGCUAACCACAUCCUCAAUUCCAUCUUAUUGUUUUGCUAAUAAGCCUCACAGAUGUUAUCUACCUAAAUCAAAUCGGCAGGAAAUGGUUUUGACAUUGGUUAUAGUUGGGAUUAAAAACGUUACAUACACCAGUCUGGAACACGAUACAGUACUGUUCUUUGGCUAAAAUAAAAAUAAAAUAAAAUACAAAGUCUUACACUUCAGUGGAGCCUUGUAUCUACAGGUGCACAUAUCAUUCAUGGACAGAGCCUGAAAACCUUUGCACAAUACACAAUACCUGUAAACAUGUGGACAGCCGCUGCCUGUUGUUAUUAUUUCCUCUCACCUCAACUGGUCAGGGCAGAUAGCCGCCCACUGACCCAGAUUCUACUGGGGGGUUCGUCUGGUAAAGGGAUGCGCUCCUCUCCACGGUCUCCUUCUGAUGCUCAUUAGUGUCUUUUCAGCUUUUCUAUAUAGUUCUGGUUUUAAGGAAGAUGUGGAUCUUCAGAAAUAAACAUUCAUAAACUGUUAUAGUCUAUUACUUUUGUUUUCCACUGUUUAUUAUGGGGGCCUAUUUAGAUGUCCAGCAUACACAUGAAUUUCAAAAUGUAAAGCUACAUCUGUCCCCCAGACUGGCCUUCCAGAUCGUGCCCCCUGCCGCCAUGUUGCAGUUACAGCCGGGUUUGGCCAGGGGACGCCACAGGAGCACCAAAGCGCUGCAUCAGUGGGUCUGGAGUUGAACUUGCUCCGGACACAUGACCUAUCUGCAGGUUGUUUCUUACUUCAACUUUAUUUACUGUGUGUGAUUAGUACAUGUGACAGACAAGUGACUAGAUUCAGAUCUGCAUGUAGUCAGAAUAUUUUAGAGUGGGGACAUAUUUCUAAUUCAUGAGGAGCAAAACAUCUUCAAAGCAUCGUUGAAGAACAUGAGAAAUUAAACAUUUUUAAAUUAAAAGGAUUGCAUUUGCAGAGAUUAAAAAAAGUCAAUGCAUGAAUAGAAAGAAUAUAAAAUAUUCAAAUAAAAUAGAUUGCUUUUGUUGACAGCUUCUAAUGGCUGCUUUGUGAAAUACAAACACAAAAACAAAUGUCCGCUUGUCAUUUCAUUAGCGGGAUUAUCUUCGAAGGUCGUCAACACAUACAACUUGUUUUUCGCCACUAGUUGCCAAACAGUUUUAACACAUUUACGCAACAAAGAAAA